rnacentral:rRNA from 1 species
GACGAACGCUGGCGGCGUGCUUAAUACAUGCAAGUCGAACGGAAAGGCCCUGCUUUUGUGGGGUGCUCGAUUGGCGAACGGGUGAGUAACACGUGAGUAACCUGCCCUUGACUUUGGGAUAACUUCAGGAAACUGGGGCUAAUACCGGAUAGGAUCUCCUGCUCCAUGGUGGGGGUUGGAAAGUUUCGGCUGUUGGAGAUGGACUCGCGGCUUAUCAGCUUGUUGGUGGGGUAGUGGCUUACCAAGGCUUUGACGGGUAGCCGGCCUGAGAGGGUGACCGGGGACAAGGGGACUAAGAGACGCAGCAGAAGGGUACGGGAGGCAGCAGGGGGGAGUAUGACACAGUGAGCGGAAGUGUGAGGCAGAAGCGUCGCGUGCGGAAUGACGGCUUUCGGGGUGAAAACAGCUGUCGAAUGAGACGAAGCGUGAGUGACGGUAAUGGGUAAAGAAGCACCAGCUAACUACGUG